rnacentral:rRNA from 1 species
AUGAACGCUAGCUACAGGCUUAACACAUGCAAGUCGAGGGGCAUCAGGAAGAAAGCUUGCUUUCUUUGCUGGCGACCGGCGCACGGGUGAGUAACACGUAUCCAACCUGCCCUUUACUCGGGGAUAGCCUUUCGAAAGAAAGAUUAAUACCCGAUAGCAUAAUGAUUCCGCAUGGUUUCAUUAUUAAAGGAUUCCGGUAAAGGAUGGGGAUGCGUUCCAUUAGGUUGUUGGUGAGGUAACGGCCCACCAAGCCUUCGAUGGAUAGGGGUUCUGAGAGGAAGGUCCCCCACAUUGGAACUGAGACACGGUCCAAACUCCUACGGGAGGCAGCAGUGAGGAAUAUUGGUCAAUGGGCGCUAGCCUGAACCAGCCAAGUAGCGUGAAGGAUGAAGGCUCUAUGGGUCGUAAACUUCUUUUAUAUAAGAAUAAAGUGCAGUAUGUAUACUGUUUUGUAUGUAUUAUAUGAAUAAGGAUCGGCUAACUCCGUGCCAGCAGCCGCGGUAAUACGGAGGAUCCGAGCGUUAUCCGGAUUUAUUGGGUUUAAAGGGAGCGUAGGUGGACUGGUAAGUCAGUUGUGAAAGUUUGCGGCUCAACCGUAAAAUUGCAGUUGAUACUGUCAGUCUUGAGUACAGUAGAGGUGGGCGGAAUUCGUGGUGUAGCGGUGAAAUGCUUAGAUAUCACGAAGAACUCCGAUUGCGAAGGCAGCUCACUGGACUGCAACUGACACUGAUGCUCGAAAGUGUGGGUAUCAAACAGGAUUAGAUACCCUGGUAGUCCACACAGUAAACGAUGAAUACUCGCUGUUUGCGUUAUACAGUAAGCGGCCAAGCGAAAGCAUUAAGUAUUCCACCUGGGGAGUACGCCGGCAACGGUGAAACUCAAAGGAAUUGACGGGGGCCCGCACAAGCGGAGGAACAUGUGGUUUAAUUCGAUGAUACGCGAGGAACCUUACCCGGGCUUAAAUUGCAGUGGAAUGAUGUGGAAACAUGUCAGUGAGCAAUCACCGCUGUGAAGGUGCUGCAUGGUUGUCGUCAGCUCGUGCCGUGAGGUGUCGGCUUAAGUGCCAUAACGAGCGCAACCCUUAUCUUCAGUUACUAACAGGUCAUGCUGAGGACUCUGGAGAGACUGCCGUCGUAAGAUGUGAGGAAGGUGGGGAUGACGUCAAAUCAGCACGGCCCUUACGUCCGGGGCUACACACGUGUUACAAUGGGGGGUACAGAAGGCAGCUAGCGGGUGACCGUAUGCUAAUCCCAAAAGCCUCUCUCAGUUCGGAUCGAAGUCUGCAACCCGACUUCGUGAAGCUGGAUUCGCUAGUAAUCGCGCAUCAGCCACGGCGCGGUGAAUACGUUCCCGGGCCUUGUACACACCGCCCGUCAAGCCAUGGGAGCCGGGGGUACCUGAAGUACGUAACCGCAAGGAUCGUCCUAGGGUAAAACUGGUGACUGGGGCU